AGUGGAAUAGCUGGGUCAAAUAGUGCUUCCAUUCCAAAUUUUCUAAGGAAUCGCCAUAAUGUUUUCCAUAGUGGUUGUACCAAUUUGCAGUCCCACCAGCAAU
rnacentral:pre_miRNA from 1 species